ensembl:lncRNA
GGCAACAACAGAUCUGUCAGCUGAGGCUGAGAAUACAAACUUUUUCUUUUUCUUUUUCUUUUUUUCCCCCUUUUUUCCCCUUCUUCUCUAAUAAUCAGGGAGAUGGGGAGGCGGAAAUCUCAGCAGGAACAGAUUGAAGACAUUAACAUUUGGUUGGUUUUGUAUUGUUCUUUAGUGAGACCGCAGCUUAUGAGGCUGUUUUAAUAAAUGUCUGGUCAGGGGCCAAUCAAAUCUGCCAAAAUGGGUGUAGGGAAGCCUGUUUCCCACACAGUCUGCUCCUUCCCACCCCAGUCACUGGAAAUAAGAAGGUCUAAUAACAAAACGCCUUCAUUUCCCUCCUCACCUCCUCACUCUCGGGGAUUUUGCAGCCCGUUGUUCCUAGACAGGAGCAAAUCUAACUCCCCUGCUGCUCCUCCCCCAAAGCAAACUAAGACCAUCUUGUUGAACUAUAAUGCAACAUAUGUUGAGAGCAGAUGCUCAUCUGGCAUAAAUUACUCUGGCUCUGCUCAAUUCAAUGGAGCUCCAGUAAUUGUAAUCAGCUGAAGAUUGUACCUUUGUUUUAUUUGUGGCUGUGGAAUGCAGUUCCUUAUCAGCAGCAGGUCAGGACACCUGCUGGGAGAACAGAGUCCAUUAACCUGAAGAUGGGUGACUGGUUUGUUCUCAGCUGUCCAGCUACUGGAUGAGAAGAAAGGCCAGUAAAAGAAAACAACUGCAGACCUGGUCCAGCUUAACCCUUGGCACAAAGCACGUCUAAGAACGAGCAGCCUGUUGGGCUGCAUGCCAGGAAAGCAUCAGGGGAGAGAGAGAGAAAAAAAAAAAAAAAAGCAGAAAACCAGAACAUAAACACAAGAUUGCUGCGGUAAUUGGUGGCUCUGAAAAACACUGAGGAAAUGUGAGGCUUGUAUGAAACAUCAGCAGACAAGAAGCGGGGUGAUGUCAGACGGCCUUCCAGGAUUAGAAACCCUUAAAAGCUCCCGAGUGCGGAACUGCCUGCGAAACGCGCUGCGGCUCUUUGGCGUGGAAGGACCCGAGGAGGACAAGUUCUGUUGAAAACCAACCCCGUGGUUCAGGUUCAGGAGAAUAAAAAGAAAUAAAGGAGGAGAAGGGAAGAGCGGCAGAUAAAAGGAGGGAAAAAUGAGAGGAAAAUGAAGACAAAAAAUGGAAGAGGAAGAAAGGAAGGAGGUAGUGAAGAGAAUAAAGGAGAGGUGAAGCAAGAAGACAAAAGAAGAAAAAUAAAAGGAAGAGAAAAAAUGGAAAAGACAAAAGAAAGCAAACAGAAGAAAGAAAAAUAAAAGAAAGAAUGAGAGAAGGAAGUAAAAAAUGUUGUGAGUACAGUAAGCAUGGCAAAAGAGAAGCAGGGCUUUUUGGAUGCAAAUAUGAAAAUAUCGAGGGAUUCAACACAAACAUCUCAUUACCCCAAAUUAAGUCAAUACAACUAUAAUAGAAGAAAGAUCAGAGAGAAUGGAAUUGUAGUUGCAAUAAUGCUGGAGCCACACAGAAAAAGGCUUUGAACAGGGGUACACAAAACCAGAAAAAAUAAAGAAGGAAAAAAAACCUCUCCCACACAUUAUUUGUUGUUUCUACUUCUGUUGGCUUCUUUCCUCGGGGGAAAAUAGAAAUACAAUACCAGACAUUUUAUAUACAUGUAUAUAUGUGUAGAGAGGAGAGUCUUCUAGCAAAUCUCUUUAAAAACAAAGGGUGCGGGGAAAGCUUGCUGUCCUGCCCUCUAUGUACACCUAGGGGUGAUGUUCACACUGGCAGGGAUCAGCACCAUGUCUCCAGAUGUGUUCCCUAAUUUCCUUUGGAAAGAAACCUGAGCAGGGGAUAUGAAGGCUUGCUGAUGGAUCUUUUGCUGUGGACACUCAGGUGGACCAGACAUAAAAAUGUACCUACCCCACAGAGAUCAACCUAAAGUGAGAUGCCCUUAAGGACCAUUGCAUACAGGAUCUGUCACACCAUCACCUCAGAAGCUGAUGAUUUCUUAGGUUACAUUCAUAAAAUCAAACAAAAGAAUGGACACAGGACCUCAGUUUCUUGUGAUGUGAAGCUGCUGUGACUAUCCUAGCCCAAAGCUGACAAGCUCUGAACCAUUUCUGUGUUUGAUAGAGGAGUUGGCCCACAGCAGAGACCUUAACCAAUACACAGCUUGGAAAUGAAGAGAACUCAGUAUUGUGUAUGCGAUUAAAAAGACCCAAUUGUUCUUAAGGGUGGAGAACAGAUGUGCUCUUCUUCGUUGUAUAGGUGUAGCCUUGGAUUUUGGCAUCCACCAUCUUUUUGACUAUAUCCAG